rnacentral:tRNA from 1 species
GGGCGAUUAGCUCAGUUUGGUAGAGCAUCUCCCUUACAAGGAGGGGGUCAUCAGUUCAAGUCUGGUAUCGCCCA